rnacentral:rRNA from 1 species
CGUCCGGGAGUUACUCCAACCCAAUGUGACGUUACCAAACUGUUGCCUCGGCGGGGUCACGCCCCGGGUGCGUCGCAGCCCCGGAACCAGGCGCCCGCCGGAGGAACCAACCAAACUCUUUCUGUAGUCCCCUCGCGGACGUAUUUCUUACAGCUCUGAGCAAAAAUUCAAAAUGAAUCAAAACUUUCAACAACGGAUCUCUUGGUUCUGGCAUCGAUGAAGAACGCAGCGAAAUGCGAUAAGUAAUGUGAAUUGCAGAAUUCAGUGAAUCAUCGAAUCUUUGAACGCACAUUGCGCCCGCCAGUAUUCUGGCGGGCAUGCCUGUCCGAGCGUCAUUUCAACCCUCGAACCCCUCCGGGGGAUCGGCGUUGGGGAUCGGGACCCCUCACACGGGUGCCGGCCCCUAAAUACAGUGGCGGUCUCGCCGCAGCCUCUCCUGCGCAGUAGUUUGCACAACUCGCACCGGGAGCGCGGCGCGCCCACGUCCGUAAAACACCCAACUUUCUGAAAUGUUGACCUCGGAUCAGGUAGGAAUACCCGCUGAACUUAAGCAUAUCAAUAAGGCGAGAGGAA